GAGUUUGAUCAUGGCUCAGAUUGAACGCUGGCGGCAUGCCUUACACAUGCAAGUCGAACGGCAGCACGGGAGCUUGCUCCUGGUGGCGAGUGGCGAACGGGUGAGUAAUGCAUCGGAACGUAUCCUGGAGUGGGGGAUAACGUAGCGAAAGUUACGCUAAUACCGCAUAUUCUGUGAGCAGGAAAGCGGGGGACCUUCGGGCCUCGCGCUCUUGGAGCGGCCGAUGUCGGAUUAGCUAGUUGGUGAGGUAAAGGCUCACCAAGGCGACGAUCCGUAGCAGGUCUGAGAGGAUGAUCUGCCACACUGGAACUGAGACACGGUCCAGACCCCUACGGGAGGCAGCAGUGGGGAAUUUUGGACAAUGGGGGCAACCCUGAUCCAGCCAUGCCGCGUGAGUGAAGAAGGCCUCGGUUGUAA
rnacentral:rRNA from 1 species